AGUGAACGCUGGCGGCGUGCUUAACACAUGCAAGUCGAACGAGAACGGGAUAUAGCUUGCUAUAUUUGUCAGCUAAGUGGCGCACGGGUGAGUAAUGUAUAGAUAACCUGCCCUCUAGAAAGGAAUAACAGUUGGAAACGACUGCUAAUGCCCUAUAUGCCUUUAAUACAUAAGUAUGCAAGGGAAACGCUUUAGUGCUUAAGGAUGGGUCUGUAUGGUAUCAGCUUGUUGGUGAGGUAAUGGCUCACCAAGGCUAUGACGCCUAACUGGUUUGAGAGGAUGAUCAGUCACACUGGAACUGUGACACGGUCCAGACUCCUACGGGAGGCAGCAGUGGGGAAUAUUGCACAAUGGACGAAAGUCUGAUGCAGCAACGCCGCGUGGAGGAUGACACAUUUCGGUGCGUAAACUCCUUUUAUAUAGGAAGAUAAUGACGGUACUAUAUGAAUAAGCACCGGCUAACUCCGUGCCAGCCGCCGCGGUAA
rnacentral:rRNA from 1 species